AACAACAAAUGAGAAGGAGCCACAGGCAAUUAACCAUAUAUUCAUCUUUAUUUAUUUAUUUCUCGUAGAACGACACCAACACUCUCUUUCUUCUCCUAAAAUCUGAUUCACAUCAUCAACUGUGUUACAAAGAAACCUACUCUUCAAACCACCAACUCUCAUCCUCUGCAGAAACUGAUUUUCUUAUAUAAGCUCAGUGCAACACAAUCUGCUUUGAGAACGCUAGUCCUAAAGCUAUCAACUCCAUCUCAGUCUCAUCCUCUGCAGAAACUCAUUUUCUUAGAUCAGCUCAGAGCAACGCAAUAUAUAACCCUAUAAAAGACUCCAACGCAUUAAGUGAGAACUGUCAAAUUCAUACAAGGGCUGCAAGUAUUUGCUUUUCCAUCGUGCAAAUGCUUCUACACCCCUCGAGAUUCAAUUGUCUCAUUCUCUUAACCUCCACAUUAAGGUUUUGGUAGUUUAGAUCAAUGGCCUCUCAAUUAAUCUGAGAACGAAAGCUACCACCAAAACCAAGAGUAGGAGACGAUGAGAUAGUGAUGAAGAUCAGCAUUUCAAUGAGGCCAUAGAGCUUUUUGUUGGAUUUGAUGACUGCAUUGCAUCCAUAACGACGACAACGAUAACAUUGGACGAUUUAGUGCUUUCCCAAUUGGAACAUUGUGCUGUGGUGGUGGAGGUGGGUGCUUUUUCACCAUGUUGUUUUAGCAUGGCAUUAUUGUCGAAACUGAAGUUGGUGGUUCUCCAUGCGAUGCAGAGAAAGAGAGGAAGAGAGAAAGGAGUGAACAAGAGAGCCAGUGUAUCUUUAUGUCUAAAUCCGGUGUAUUUUGGACAUAAAAUUUGACUUUCUUUUUAUCGAUGGAUUUAUAGACAGAUUAAUCAAUUGAUAAU